GUAGUCAUAUGCUUGUCUCAAAGAUUAAGCCAUGCAUGUCUAAGUACAUACCUUUGCACGGUGAAACCGCGAAUGGCUCAUUAAAUCAGUUAUGGUUCCUUAGAUCGUUCUUUUUACAUGGAUAACUGUGGUAAUUCUAGAGCUAAUACAUGCAAAAAGCUCCGACCGUAUGGGAAGAGCGCUUUUAUUAGACCAAAACCAAUGGGAUCGCAAGAUUCCUUUGUCUGGUGACUCUGGAUAACUUUGUGCUGAUCGCAUGGCCUUGAGCCGGCGACGUAUCUUUCAAGUGUCUGCCCUAUCAACUUUCGAUGGUAAGCGAUUUGCCUACCAUGGUUGUAACGGGUAACGGGGAAUA
rnacentral:rRNA from 1 species